CCUUUUCAGCCCCCUUGCAAGUGGCAGCAGAGCUCGUCUGACAGCGUCUUCGGAAACGGGAGAAAAGCCAUUCAUUGCAAACAUGAACUCUGAGACAAGUAAAAAUCAAAGAUGACCCAAGUGCCUGGAGGCAUAAAACCAGCUACUGAACUGUUCAGCUUGUUUAAUGAAAUGGAGCAGCACAAAGACACAGUUCGCGUAUAGAUUUAGAUAUACAACAACACUGGCACUCAAACAAUUUACGGAGCUCACUGCAAAUUGUAAGAUUGGGAAGCCUGGCUGCUGUCGGCUGUUUGAAAGAGAUUUGGGAUGGAAAGACCUAUCAGAAAAACUGCCCUUGCCAAGUGCUGUGAUGGCAGAACAUGAAGGAGCUGGGGACGUACCAACUCAUAGCUACUGUUGAAGAUCGAGGAAGUCCUGUGGACCUCACGGGAGGUGGAAUACGUGCAAAUACUGAAAUGAUGGGGGCUGGAAGUGCACAGUAGUGUCAGCCUGGGCCGCUGCCAAAGGAACAACUCAAGUGUGCGCGCGGUUUUUGGAACAUGAAUGAUCCCAUUGACUCCCGAUUGCCUGCGGACGCGACCCGGGCUGAAUGGGUCUUGUGUUUGCACGGAAAGACGGUCCAGAACGAACCGAGGGAGUUUCCAAGCAGACAUCGCUAAAUGUCGCUUUGUAGGUGCGGAGUACAUCCUGCCAGCCAUGAGCCGCGUUACUGGUGAGGGCUGUGGACCCUGGGGACACGAGGGCCCUGGGGUCCUGGGUGCUGUUGUGCAAGCCUGGGGCCGUGCUCAGGGAGGAGGUGGUGUGAGCAGGAUCCUGCCUGUGUCCUGACCCGCUCUGUAGACUGGGCUCAGCCUCUCGACGGGGAUCACAGUCGCUGCACAGGUACUGCCGUCCCUCGGCAGCCCCCUACCUAGAUGGGAGCUGUCUGCCCCCAUGGGCGCAGCAAUUUGAGCCUCUUGGUUUACAAGUACCACGUUGCUGCAGAGUAAUGCGAUUAUACAUUCACAUCAAUUUGUGUAAAGCUGGCAGCAUCCUCGGUGAAUAUUUUUGUACCUCCAGUUUCUAAAUGGCAUUACUGUUAACAGCAAUGUAUCAUCAUUACCAGCAAGGCUUUAGAGGAUGCAUGAGCAAAGUGUGAUAUUACUUAAACCUCUGCAAGUACUGUGUGAUAAUUAAUCAGGCACGGGUUGGUUAUGUUUUCACCUUACUUGGUAGAGAGUAAUGCAAUGCAAUGGAGCAGGAUUUUGGUUAAAAUUCUCUGGUGAGCUAAUCCCCACCAGGUCAGGACAGCUGUCUCCCCAUAUGUAUACAAGAGCACCACGGGCCAGAAGCCUUGUGCGAGUCUUUUUCUUCCUGCUGAAGCAUCAGAUAGUGCCGGGUCGGUGCCAGAGGUGAGAACCCAGGCCAGAGGAACCAAGGGUCCUGUCCAAGACUGCAGACCCCCAGCCCUUGCUGGCCCAGACGUCAUUUGAUUUUUGGGGUCUCAUCCUGCAGCUGCUUUGGCUACAGUGCUCCCUCCAAUCAUGCCGUUAUGUAUUAACAGGGGACAGAGCUGGCAGCAGGAAAGGGUAGCAGAAGUACACAUUUGUCUUGCUGUCCAGAAAGCCACAUAACAAAUAGCGAUGCCAAGUGUAAUCCUGCUUCAGUUAAAACUGUUGCUUUGGUUUGUCAUCAUUCAUUGUUCGGAGUACAGCUGCUUAAUGACAGGAUGUGGGAAAUGAAAAGUUUUUUAUGUCCUUGUAGACUUUUCAAAAUAAAAAUUCCUGAGCAGCGGAGGGAGAGAAGGCAUUUGCACAGAAAUGCCUGGGUUUGAAUGCCGAGAGGCAGCCUGGCCGGAGCGAGCCUCCCCUCAACGAGGCUCAGGAGACGGAGGUUUUGCUCUUAGCUUUAAAAAUAACCUGCUGUGUAAAGCCGGGCAGUAUCUGCGCCUCGGCUUUGUUUGCUUACGUUACACAUCUGGUGCAGCUGUCUCUGCCCAGCGCCUUGCAGAACAGGACCUGCGUUUGAUAGGAAGAAAUGAAAAAUAAAAGACAA